UCCGGUUUGGCACCGGCAGUCCUCCCAGAGUCCUCGGCGUUACCCGGUAGCAACUGGGAGCGGGGGUUGCGCUCGUUGCGGGACUUAACCCAACAUCUCACGACACGAGCUGACGACAACCAUGCACCACCUGUCACUCUGUCCCCCGAAGGGGAACGUCCUAUCUCUAGGAGUGUCAGAGGAUGUCAAGCCCAGGUAAGGUUCUUCGCGUUGCAUCGAAUUAAGCCACAUGCUCCGCCGCUUGCGCGGGCCCCCGUCAAUUCCUUUGAGUUUUAGCCUUGCGGCCGUACUCCCCAGGCGGGGUGCUUAAUGCGUUAGCUUCGGCACGGACGGGGUUGAUAUCCGCCCACACCUAGCACCCAACGUUUACGGCUAGGACUAC
rnacentral:misc_RNA from 1 species